rnacentral:rRNA from 1 species
GACGAACGCUGGCGGCGUGCUUAACACAUGCAAGUCGAACGAUGAAGCCGGAGCUUGCUCUGGUGAAUUAGUGGCGAACGGGUGAGUAACACGUGAGUAACCUGCCCUUGACUCUGGGAUAACUGCGGGAAACUGUAGCUAAUACCGGAUACGACCCUCGGAGGCAUCUCCUGGGGGUGGAAAGAAUUUCGGUCAAGGAUGGACUCGCGGCCUAUCAGCUAGUUGGUGAGGUAAAGGCUCACCAAGGCGACGACGGGUAGCCGGCCUGAGAGGGUGACCGGCCACACUGGGCCUGAGACACGGCCCAGACUCCUACUGGAGGCAGCAGUGGGGAAUAUUGCCCAAUGGGCGCAAGCCUGAUGCAGCAACGCCGCGUGAGGGAUGACGGCCUUCGGGUUGUAAACCUCUUUUAGCAGGGAAGAAGCGAAAGUGACGGUACCUGCAGAAAAAGCACCGGCUAACUACGUGCCAGCCGCCGCCGUAA